GACGUAGGGCGCGAGCGUUGUCCGGAUUUAUUGGGCGUAAAGAGCUCGUAGGCGGCUUGUCGCGUCGACUGUGAAAACUCGGGGCUCAACUCCGAGCUUGCAGUCGAUACGGGCAGGCUAGAGUUCGGUAGGGGAGACUGGAAUCCUGGUGUAGCGGUGAAAUGCGCAGAUAUCAGGAAGAACACCCGUGGCGAAAGCGGCUCUCUGGAACGGUACUGACGCUGAGACGCGAAAGCGUGGGAGCGAACAGGAUAGAACCCCUG
rnacentral:rRNA from 1 species